GCUUUCUGUGCUUCCAGAGGCAGACUAGACUCCUCUUGGUGGUGUGAGAGCCCCUAAAAGACAGCAUUUAUCCAGAAAAAGCAGUAGGAAUAUUAACAGCAGCAGAGCAACAUGGUGCAAGAGAAGUCUACUGGAAGGAAACUGCUGUCAUAAGGUU
rnacentral:lncRNA from 1 species